AUGGAAUAUAUGACAAAGGUGG
rnacentral:miRNA from 2 species